rnacentral:rRNA from 1 species
UGGGGAAUUGUUCGCAAUGGACGAAAGUCUGACGCAGCGACGCCGCGUGUGGGAGGAAGCUCUUCGGGGUGUAAACCACUGUCAGGAGGGAAGAACGGCGCCGGUUCGAACAGUUCCGGCGAUUGACGGUACUUCCAAAGGAAGCGCCGGCUAACUCUGUGCCAGCAGCCGCGGUAAUACAGAGGGUGCGAGCGUUAAUCGGAAUUACUGGGCGUAAAGCGCACGUAGGUGGCGACGUAAGUCGGGUGUGAAAGCCCCGGGCUCAACCUGGGAACCGCAUUCGAGACUGCGUUGCUGGAGUACGGAAGAGGAGGGCGGAAUUCCCGGUGUAGCGGUGAAAUGCGUAGAUAUCGGGAGGAACAUCAGUGGCGAAGGCGGCCCUCUGGUCCAGUACUGACACUCAAGUGCGAAAGCGUGGGGAGCAAACAGGAUUAGAUACCCAAGUAGUCCCUGAGCGGGCUGGCAAGGCGCAU